GAAAACAGCUCUAAAAGUACCUGUUCCCCUUCACUAGCUGAAAAGGGAGAUAGGUAAUUUAAAGCAGGUGGCUGCAUAAAUUCCCCUCUCUGAAAAUGAAUAACAUUUAGGAAAAACAUGCCCUGAGAAUGCUCAGCAUUUAGGAGAAACAUGCCCAAAGCAGACACUGAUUUGCCAGACAUCACUCCCUGCUGCAAGAUUUCCCACGCUAGACUAGCACCGAGCUCUGCUACUUGGAAGACAACAAGGAAAUUUCAUAGGCAAAGAGAGAAUAUUCCCCAGGUCAGAAAUGCUCUCUUUAAUCACAGGAAGGAGACUUGGUCUUCUGCACCCCCAGCUGAGGAGGUCCCACACUGCAGAAGCUUCCAAGCAUGGACCAGGACCCUUCACCAGCCGAGUGCUCCCACCUGGCUGCAGGCACCCACCCCGAACCCACUCCGAGAAUGUGCAAAUUCCUUCUUGCUAAACGGUGCAGCUGCAGGAGGUGACGUGGGGCAGCUCUGGUCCCAGAGCAUCCUCGGACAGAAGGAAGGGGACUGACUCUUGUUAACCCACUUACAGUUUCUGCUUGCCUGAGCAGAGCCCCGGCCACCUAGACCUGUUUGGGAUGGUGAUACCCAGCCUCCUCGCCUCUACUGCUGGCUUAAAACACAUGAAAGACCCACUUGCUCUUUAACAGCAGCAGAGAGGGUUUCCCUGAAUGUAGGGGCAAGGCAGGAAACCCUGGGAAAUAGCUGCUUGAAGCCCAGGUCCCUUCCCCGGAAAAUCUCGGGGUCGCAUCCCCGUCCUGCCGCCUCAGCCCCGCAUCCCGCACAUCUUGUGGAGCGUCCCUGCUCCGAACACACCGCCUCCCUCCAGGUUCGGGUUCUGACAGCAGCAGAGAGCCAGAAAGUUUCUGUCCCCGUGUCACACGCACGGCUCAGCCGCGGACACACGGAGCUGACACCGGGAGGGCGGGACAGCUUCACACAGCAUCCCUCCCUCGCUCUGCACCUUUGCGCUGAUUCAACACGGUGCUGACCUCGAGUAAGAAUUCAGAGUGGGAAGCAGAUCUGGGGGGCUGCUGGCAGAAUUCUCUGCAGUGUGGAGUUGCUGCUGCUGAUUCCCAGGGACCCUCCAGGAGGCAAUGAGGCCAGCAGGAGUCAGUUCAGGUCCAGAAAUUACCCAGUCUUUAAAAGCAAUAUCAUCACUUUGGUUGCUGUGCUAUUUGAAGAGGAUCUGAAAUGCCUGUGAUUUUAAAUCCUGAAGAGCUUACCUGAAAGCAGGAUGGCAGAAAUUCUGCAGUGCAUAGUAAGAAUGUGGUCAGCAGAAAAUAAAAAGUAUACUGUUUAAAAAAUUAAUGAGUUCAGAUUGACAUGAACAAAUGAAGUAGAGGAAAGCAGUGUGGGAUUUGAGACAUAUUGUGUAAUGUUAUUAUAAAAAAAAGUAGCACCUAUGUAUAAGGUAGCAGAGAUAAAGGAGAUUUAAAUCUAGUAAGAACAGAUAGCAGGGCAUGAAACAGAGUUUUGAGAUCUGUAUCUGAAAUAUUUUGAGUCAAGUGAGGAGAUACAAAACUAAUUCAGAAGAUUUAUGCAAUCUCACUUAUGAACAAUUGCCCAGCUCAACUGCGUUAAAGUACAAAAGAAAAAGAAAGGAAAAAACCAAAGUAGUGAGUAAUAAUUCAUACUGUAAUGUGUUUCAAGCUACAUCUCCCCUAUUGCCUGAAUUUUAUUGUGCAUCAGCCUGGUAUAAGUUAAAGAGGUAAAAGUAUACCUUUAUACUGCUAUCCUAAG